rnacentral:rRNA from 1 species
GACGAAGGGGGCAAGCGUUGUUCGGAAUUACUGGGCGUAAAGGGCGCGUAGGCGGUUCUUUAAGUCAGGCGUGAAAGCCCUGGGCUCAACCUGGGAGUGGCGCUUGAUACUGGAGGACUAGAGAGUGGGAGAGGUUGGUGGAAUUCCCAGUGUAGAGGUGAAAUUCGUAGAUAUUGGGAAGAACACCGGUGGCGAAGGCGGCCAACUGGACCAUUUCUGACGCUGAGGCGCGAAAGCGUGGGGAGCGAACAGG